GACGAACGCUGGCGGCGUGGAUUAGGCAUGCAAGUCGAACGGUAUCAUCCUUUCGGGGGUGAGAGAGUGGCGAACUGGUGAGUAACACGUAGGUUAUCUACCCUCAAGACGGGGACAACCCAGGGAAACUUGGGCUAAUACCGGAUGUGAGCAACUUUUAGUUGUUUGAAAGGUGGCGUAAGCUGUCGCUUGGGGAUGAGCCUGCGUCCUAUUAGUUAGUUGGUGAGGUAACGGCUCACCUAGGCAAUGAUAGGUAGGCGGCCUUAACGGGUGGUCGCCCACACUGGGAUUGAGAUACGGCCCAGACUCCUACGGGAGGCAGCAGUCGAGAAUAGUCUACAAUGGUCGGAAGACUGAUAGUGCGACGCCGCGUGAACGAUGAAUCCCUUCGGGGUUAAAGUUCUUUUAUAUGUGAGCAGUGCUUCUUAUAUUAACAGUAUGGGGAAGAGAUAUUAGCAUAUGAAUAAGCAACGGCUAACUCCGUGCCAGCAGCCGGGUAAA
rnacentral:rRNA from 1 species